UUAGCCAGAUGAUAGCGCUCAAAGUAAUUUGGGUGAGGAAAGUCCGAGCACCACAGGACAAGUGCGCUUGAUAACGUCAAGCUAGGGCGACCUAAGGAAAAGGGCAACAGAGAUAUACCGCCAACCAGCGUAAGCCAGGGGCAAGGGUGGAAAAGUGGGGUAAGAGCCCACUCAUAAUAAUGGUGACAUUGUUAUGCUGUAAACUCCGCAUGGUGCAAGAUGCAAGGCAAAAUGGGCUGUCCGUCCGCCUUCAAUAUCGCAAAGAGCAAUGUGGCAACAUAUUGCCAAGAUUGAUUAUCAUCUAAAACAGAACUCGGCUUAUAGACUAACUUU
rnacentral:RNase_P_RNA from 1 species